UCCCUAGUGGUUCAGAUGGUAAAGAAUCUACUUGCAGUGUAGGACACCUGGGUUCAAUCCCCAGCUUGGGAA
rnacentral:tRNA from 1 species